CAAGCUUUCACCAGCAUCAGGACUGCAGAGCCUGGCUUUGUUCUGCUAUGCUCUUACAUCAGUGCAGGGGGCUGUGAUGCAGCCCUUUGUACACCUUCUUCAGAUGCAGGCAGAAGAGGAAGGAACAGAAAGAGUCAGGAAGCCCAAAGAUCUGAGCAGAGAUACGCAGCAAUCAGGAGGGGCAGAUCGCUCAGGAAGACCUGGAUUGCUCAGGAAGCUCAGCUGGCUCCAGCUUCACGUAUGAGGACGAGGAACCACAGCAGGACUGGGGAGCAGAGCCACCUUCCCUGGCCAAAACCACAGGGGCAAGAGGAACACGGGAUUCUAAUUCAGAACCGAAUAGACAUCCUCAGUGCAUGAGUGGAUGGGUGUUGAGACAGAGGGAUGGGAGACAGGUGAGCAGACAGACGCUGCUGAGCCAAGGCUGCAGCCCGAGAGGUUGCUCUCAGCAGUGGGAAGCAGCCCAGAGCCCUCCUGGGAUCCCUUUGGCACUAGGGGAGCCGGCUCAGAGAGCCCUGGGCAUGCUGCAAGUGGCCAGAGAUGUCCCUGGCACCCCAUGGCAGGGCAGAGCCCAGCGCCCACCCAUCCCAUGGAGGGGAUGCAGCUGGGGCAGGGCAGGACGGCAUCCCACCAGCAGAAUAAGAUGAUAUUUGUAAAGCAAAACCCUCGCCGGGAUGGGAACAGGCACCAAAACACAGGACACAGCUGGCCCCAGAGCACGGGGCCGAGCUGCUCACACCAUGCUCCUGCAGGGAAGGCGACCUCGUUGGCCACAGCGAGUCAAAACCAACAAAAAUGGGACAGAUCUGCCCCGGGGGGUCCUUAUCUAUGACUGAGGCAGCCUGGAAAGGUGCCGCCUGUUUCUGAGGGGCUACAUUUCUCCCCUCGGUCUCGAGGGGAAGAUCCUUGCAUGGCUGAUGUGCUGCAGACAGCAUCGCGGCGGCCUGGUCCAGCCUUCCUGGCUGGUCCUUCAUUAUUUCGCACUGGUGCUACAAUUUGCGCUGAUGCAAAGGAGCAGUGUAAAUCAGGCAUGAAGGAGGGAGGAUUACUGCUGCCGGAGCCUCUGACUGCCCCACGUUGGCAGGUUUAAUUGCUUUCACAGGGACCAGGCCAAGCCAGGCUUGAAUGCUGAGAACCGAGGCGUGCGAGCAGCCACACUGAUUAAAUUUCCCCCUGCUCUGGCCGUUGCCCUGCGGUGGCGGCUGUGAGCAGCCAGCCUGCCUCACCAGGGCUGACGUUUUCCUUCUCCCCCUCCAGUUUUAAGCAAGGAGCCCUUGGACAGCACAAGGACACUGGUCCAAGCUGCCCUUUCCAUCCUACCUGGUUCCCUUUUGCUCAGCAGGGCUUGCCUUGUGCAUCCCCCUCGUCCCUCACACCCCCAGCCUUCCCCUUCCCCUGCACUACACGUGCUGCCUGGGUCUUUCCCUCCCUUUCCUUAUCAAGAUAAAGCUGUCAUCGGCUUCCCCAUUCCACUGGUUUGUUGAGACUUUCAAAGCCCGAAACCGUAUUAAAUAUUCAGCCUGCUCCUUUGGGCUGCAUUUCAGAGCCUGCAUCCCUCCCUUUAAUUGCUCCGUCAAGACUAGAUGAAAGUUUGAUGCCGAGGCUUUGACUGGGACUAACUCAAACACUUUGGGCUCUGCUGAUUUAUUUAUUUAAAGAGAAAAAAAUAUCUGGAUUAUUCCGCUUAAAUUAGGCUCUGCAAUUGCUAAAGACCUCUUUCAUUGGCUCUCUCACUCAUUCAUGCUUCUUUCCAAAAAUGCACUCUCUUCCCUGCUAUUUUUGGCUAUUCUGAAAUAUGAGCAUGCUCCUUCCUGUAUCCCUUGCUCUCUGUCUCUCUUCUGACUGUCACCAAGUGCACGUCUCAAACACCUCUUCUGAAACAGCACGGUGCCCUGUACUCCCACGGGAAGGCAGAUGGAGACUUCCAUCCGAGGAGAGGGCUCCCUUGGGCAUCGCUCCACCAACAAGGCAGCCGAAAUCUGCAUCUGGAGAGAACUCGGCUGCCAGGGAAGACACAACCACAGCAGUCCCCUGCACAGCUUCAGAGGCUGGCUCUGAUUUAGAUGCUCCCAGCAGCAGCUUGUUAACCUGCACCCCUUAUACCUGGCCCUGGAGACGUGGCUGGGAGCUCAGCCCGUGGGGCGAGCUGGGACCUUCCCCUCCCUGUGCCUCCCCUGAGCAUCUUUGCUCUUGCUCUGAAUAAUUCCUGCACGGGCAGGCAGAGGCCAGCUCCCUCCUAUUGCAGGCUGCAGCUGGGAGGAGAUGGAUUUUUGUUUAUUUGGGGCUUUUUUUUCCUUUGCUUUGUUCCUAUCUGCCCCGAGCUGCAGCUCGGUGCUUUUUGCUGAGGUUUGGAGUCCGUG